rnacentral:lncRNA from 1 species
CUUUAGUCGACAAUGACCAAAAGCUGUCAUGAAGGUCUACAUGUAGUUUUCUUGCUAUUUUGGUAAUUGUUAUGGGGUUUAAAAAUCAUGUAGAGCUUAUUUUUCACGGGUACUUAAUUCAGAAGUCAUGAACCCAUUACCACAUUACCGGUAUGGCUGAUUUGCAGCAACAACAAAACGAUUCGUACGGGUUAUGUAAAAUUUUAAAGGGAUUUGUAAAGCAAACGUUGACAAAUGAAAAGGUUUUUAAUGAUUUUAUCCAUGUUAUCUAGCAAAUUGAUGCUAUGCAACAUGCAUCUUUCGAGUCUGAAUAGAAACCGGAAAUGCGGAUGUAUCAAUUUGAUUGUAAACUACGAAAUGAAUUUGGAAUUACGAUACAACAUUUCUUUACAGGAAAUAAAAGUUUUUAUUUUUUAACUUUUAAAGUUAUUCUAUAUUUAUCAUUCUAAUACAGCAGUACUCGAGUUAUUUGCGAUGAAAUAAUAACUGUUUUACGUCUUAUUUUGUACUUCUCAAAAAAGGGGGAUGUUGAUUGCGUAAGUCAAAAUAAAAGCACAUGUUCGACUUUUUAAACUGUUUUCUUUGUAACUGGGAUUAUUAAUUGAUUUAUUCAAUCUAAAUUAUCAUAGAAUUUGCGGAAACUUAGUUGAAUAAUUCGACAAAUGAAUCGUUUAUCUUCAGAUUGUAUUCUCCUGUCUGGUUUGUUGAUCUACCUGUACAAGCUCAGGUACAAGUGAUUAGCGAUCUUAAUCCGGAUAUCCCUCAGGUGUUAGAACUGUAUUGGAUUAUAAUAUAAAAAAGCCUGAGGGUUAUGCAAUUACAUGCAUUUGAUUAUAAUUGCUAAAAAAAUGGCGUCGGGCUAUUAAAACGAUAACAGUUUUGAACGAUGGCGGAAGACAAAUAACGAUGGCACAGGUCAUUUGACGAUGGCGCAAGACAUUUGAACAAUGGCGCAGGUCAUUUGACGAUGGCGCAAGACAUUUGAACGAUGGCGGGGCGCCAUCGUUAAACAGGCUAUGGAGAUCCCUGCUCUCUUAAAGUUCUAUGAUAUAUAUUGAAACAUGUUUGUUUGAAAUGAAUCAUAAUUAGAAAAUAGAUAACUA